UUUGAAAUAUGCAAUGAUAUAGGAAAAUUACAAUGCAAUAACCAGUUCAACAAGAAGAAGAACAACAGCUAUGAAAAAUUUGUUGGUUGGAAUGAAUGAGAAUUCGAAGCGUUUGACGCUGCGUUAGAGCAUACGAGUCGGACAGGAGACGGGACGGGAGUGACGCUGAUGGGAAGAAGCGGUAUUGAACGGCUGAGAGUGGUAGAAGGUGGAUGUGCGAUGCGGACGGGUGAGUCGUGAGAGAAGCUGAAAGGACGAAACAGUCCCCCACACUCACCUGAUGGCAAUCCUGUCCUGCAUGUAGAGGCGCCAGGUGAUGAAGGCGUAGCGGGAGUCGCGGGCCCUGACGAGGCAGGCGUCUAAGUCGGGGCACACCUGGAGGCCAUUGUAUACUUGGCGGUACAGCGGCACGGUGGAGGUUUUGAGGAGCUGGUAGUCUGCCGCACCCUGGUCCUGGGGGGUGAGGGUGGAGGUCCAGAAAGGUGGCGAGAAAAGAGGGCACGGAGGAGGAGGAAUUUUCAAGUUUCCUGGCAGCAUAGUAGAGGCUUCCCACCGCCACCAGAGCGACCACAAACCCUGCCCACACCUGCCGCGCGGAUCAGCAGCAAUCAGGAGCCGUUCUGCAGCCGGUACCCCCACUGCCCGUCCAGAGGCUCCCGCACCACGUAAGUAAAAUUGAGGGAGGUCGCCAUGGCACGCAGCAUUCGGGUGUCCACACAGUCUUUGAGCUCGAGCCUGGAUCUUCGUUUUCU